UGGGGAAUAUUGCACAAUGGGCGCAAGCCUGAUGCAGCCAUGCCGCGUGUAUGAAGAAGGCCUUCGGGUUGUAAAGUACUUUCAGCGGGGAGGAAGGGAGUAAAGUUAAUACCUUUGCUCAUUGACGUUACCCGCAGAAGAAUCACCGGCUAACUCCGUGCCAGCAGCCGCGGUAAUACGGAGGGUGCAAGCGUUAAUCGGAAUUACUGGGCGUAAAGCGCACGCAGGCGGUCUGUCAAGUCGGAUGUGAAAUCCCCGGGCUCAACCUGGGAACUGCAUUCGAAACUGGCAGGCUAGAGUCUUGUAGAGGGGGGUAGAAUUCCAGGUGUAGCGGUGAAAUGCGUAGAGAUCUGGAGGAAUACCGGUGGCGAAGGCGGCCCCCUGGACAAAGACUGACGCUCAGGUACGAAAGCGUGGGGAGCAAACAGG
rnacentral:rRNA from 1 species